rnacentral:rRNA from 1 species
AGCUCCAAUAGCGUAUAUUAAAGUUGUUGCAGUUAAAAAGCUCGUAGUUGGAUUUCAGUUUUGAGUGGUCGGCCUAUCUCGAAAGGGAUGUGAGCCUUAGUACCAACUUGAUUCAUCUUUGGAGUGUGCGUGUUUGGCAUUCAUUUGUCGAUCAUGUAUGACUCCAUCGUUUACUGUGAGCAAAUUAGAGUGUUCAAAGCAGGCUUAUGCCGUUGAAUACAUUAGCAUGGAAUAAUAAGAUAGGACCUUAGGCGGUCUAUUUUGUUGGUUUGCACGCCUAGGUAAUGAUUAAUAGGGAUAGUUGGGGGUAUUUGUAUUCAGAUGUCAGAGGUGAAAUUCUUGGAUUUUCGGAAGACAAACUACUGCGAAAGCAUUUACCAAGGAUGUUUUCAUUAAUCAA